rnacentral:rRNA from 1 species
GACGAACGCUGGCGGCGUGCCUAACACAUGCAAGUCGAGCGAAGAGUUUCUGCUGUUUGCACCGGAACGACUUAGCGGCGAACGGGUGAGUAAUACGUAAAGAACCUGCCUCAUAGACAGGGCCAAAUGUUGGAAACGAUAGCACAUACCGGAUAACAGCACUAACUGGAUGGGUGAUGAUUGAAAGGUGGUUUUGGUAACACCAUGAGGUGGCUUUGCGGUGCAUUAGCUAGUUGGUGGGGUAAAGGCCUACCAAGGCGACGAUGCAUAGCCGACCUGAGAGGGUGAUCGGCCACACUGGGACUGAGACACGGCCCAGACUCCUACGGGAGGCAGCAGUAGGGAAUCUUCCGCAAUGGGCGAAAGCCUGACGGAGCAACGCCGCGUGAGUGAAGAAGGAUUUCGGUUCGUAAAGCUCUGUUUUUAGGGAAGAAUGAUUGUGUAGUAACUAUACGCGGUAGAGACGGUACCUAACCAGAAAGCCACGGCUAACUACGUG